GAUGUCUUUAGAUUUUAUUCUUGACUCCUUCCUGGUAUAGGGAGGUAAAAAGUCAAAGGUCAGAUGCUCCCAGUUGCAGCUUCGCCACUGAGUUCAUGUGGAAGAUUUGUCUUCAUUAUUUUGUUCUGAUUGUUUGUCUUGCCUUGGGGUUCCAGAUGGUGUGGUCUGCGGUCAGAAGUUCCUCUUACCCAGACACUUAAACUUCCUCUCAGAGGGGAGGCACAGUACAAACUGUUGCAGGAGGACGAUCCAGUCUUCCCUGCUGAUGGGAUUCUGCGUAAGAUCUCCAUAUUCGCUAUACUGCACAGGAAGCCAGUCUGACAAGGCUUCGUAAACCUGAAAAACAAUAGAGAAGCGGGUCGUUUGAUCCCAUCCCUCCACCCAGCGUCUGCCGGCACCGCGUGUGUGUUUAUGGAGGGAAGCAAGAACCGGAGCUCACCUAUGGUCACGUUCCCCUUUUCACAGCAGAGACGUGAGUUUGUUGUGCUGCGCUUACUUUUUUCAUCUGGAUUUCCCUCUCAGAGCCUUCAUCGACGGCUGGGAGACAGAGUGUGGGAACAAUGAGACCAGAAUAAGGUCCGGACAAAAAGGGGCCCUGAAUCCCAGUGUCACGUUCAUGUGAACAGUCAGAAAAAUUGGGAUCAACCAUCUGGUAAAGAAACAGCAAAGACCAAAGUCUUCCC